rnacentral:rRNA from 1 species
GAUGAACGCUAGCGGCAGGCUUAACACAUGCAAGUCGAGGGGCAGCACGAUGUAGCAAUACAUUGGUGGCGACCGGCGCACGGGUGCGUAACACGUAUGGAAUCUGCCUUGUACUGGGAGAUAGCCCUCCGAAAGGAGGAUUAAUAUCCCAUAAUAGUUCGAGUGGCAUCACUUGGAUUUGAAAGCUCCGGCGGUACAAGAUGACCAUGCGCACGAUUAGCUAGUUGGUGAGGUAACGGCUCACCAAGGCUACGAUCGUUAGGGGGCCUGAGAGGGUUAUCCCCACACUG